CAGUAGCCGCGGGAACACGUAGGGUGCAAGCGUUAAUCGGAAUUACUGGGCGUAAAGCGUGCGCAGGCGGUUUGUUAAGACAGAUGUGAAAUCCCCGGGCUCAACCUGGGAACUGCAUUUGUGACUGGCAAGCUAGAGUGUGGCAGAGGGGGGUGGAAUUCCGCGUGUAGCAGUGAAAUGCGUAGAUAUGCGGAGGAACACCGAUGGCGAAGGUAGCCCCCUGGGCCAACACUGACGCUCAUGCACGAAAGCGUGGGGAGCAAACAGGAUUAGAUACCCGAGUAGUCCCUGUCUCUUAUAC
rnacentral:rRNA from 1 species